rnacentral:tRNA from 1 species
GGAUGGAUGUAUGAGCGGUUGAAAGAGUCGAUUUUGAAACCUGAAGUAUUGAUAGGAAUACCGGGGGUUCGAAACCCUGUCCAUCCG